rnacentral:rRNA from 1 species
GGACUACCGGGGUAUCUAAUCCCGUUUGCUCCCCUGGCCUUCGUGCCUCAGCGUCAGUUACUGUCCAGGAACUCGCCUUCGCCACUGGCCUUCCUUACGAUCUCUACGCAUUUCACUGCUACACCGUAAAUUCCAGUUCCCUCUCCAGUACUCUAGCAAGGCAGUAUCCAAUGCAGUUCCGGGGUUGAGCCCCGGGAUUUCACAUCAGACUUGCCCCGCCGCCUACGCACCCUUUACGCCCAAUGAAUCCGAACAACGCUCGGGACCUCUGUAUUACCGCGGCUGCUGGCAC